rnacentral:rRNA from 1 species
GACGAACCGUGCGAACGUUGUUCGGAUUCACUGGGCUUAAAGGGCGCGUAGGCGGGUCCACAAGUCAGGGGUGAAAGCUCCCGGCCUAACCGGGAAAGUGCCUUUGAUACUGUGGGUCUCGAGGGAGGUAGGGGCACGUGGAACUUCCGGUGGAGCGGUGAAAUGCGUAGAUAUCGGAAGGAACGCCGGUGGCGAAAGCGGCGUGCUGGACCUCUUCUGACGCUGAGGCGCGAAAGCCAGGGGAGCAAAGCGGGG